GGCUUGAAAAUAGUGGAUGGAUCUCCAAUCAAGUUGUAGUUGUCUCAGCCAAUCACACGCCCAUAAUGCUGGUCCUCCUGUGUUACUGCAUAUAAGCUCCAUGUGGCUUGCUGAAUCGCCUGUCUGACCCCAAUCAGAUGAAGAUAAGUGCAAUAUCUCUGAGAAGCAAUAAAGUAGGCCACAUGAUAUUGAAUCAGAAAUUAAUGUCCUGAAAUGAGGGAUGACCAAAUUCAAUACAAGGCAGGACCUGGCAAGUGGACCAGGAGCAGCAUCUUGCAGCAUGUGAAUAUGGAACCAGUAGGAGCGAUUCAAAUGUGGAACCGUGAAGGUUCAAAGCCAGAUGUUCUGUUAAGGUGGAAGGUAAGUCCAACAGGUCCCAGGAAUGUUGGUUGUCAUGAGAGAUUGAGCUUUUUUUAAGUAAAUGGGAGGGUGAAGAGUGGCACAAAACAUAACUAGUGUGAAAGAAUAAGGAAAACCCCAAAACUGUUUAUGUAUGUUAAAGGUAUGUGGGUAUUUGUGGAAAAAUAUAGCCUUAUUAGAGACCAAAAUGGCAUUCUCUAUAUAAAGUGGGAUGAUGGAAUGAGAAAUCUUUAUUUAAGAUCUCAUGUUUAUUAAGCAGAAGGACAGAGAAAGACUUGAACAAAUGAUCAUUGAUGGAUGGUUUUUAAUGUUUAGCAGGCUUAAAGUGGAUAAAUUUCUAGGGCCUGAUGAGAUGUAUCUCAGGUUGCUUUGAGGUAAGGGAAGAGUUGGUGUGGCACUGACUAAUUUUUAGUUCUUCUCUGUCCGUGGAAGAACUGCCAGAUAUCUGGUGGCUAGUAGUUCUCAUUUCUUUGUCCAAUGUGAACAGCAUGGAUAAGCCAGUAGGUCCAAAAUCACUCGCAGGGAAAUUAUUGGGAAAUACUCUGAGCAACAGGAUUGGAUUUCACUUGGAGAAUUGGGAAUUAAAAGGUAGUUAGCAUAGCUUUGAUAA